GUCACUUUGGCCGAGAGGUUAAGGCGAUUGACUCGAAAUCAAUUGUAUUAUGUACGCAUGGGUUCAAAUCCCAUAGGUGACG
rnacentral:tRNA from 1 species